rnacentral:rRNA from 1 species
ACGGGUGAGUAACACGUGGGCAAUCUGCCCUUCACUCUGGGACAAGCCCUGGAAACGGGGUCUAAUACCGGAUAUCACUCCUGCAGGCAUCUGUGGGGGUUGAAAGCUCCGGCGGUGAAGGAUGAGCCCGCGGCCUAUCAGCUUGUUGGUGAGGUAAUGGCUCACCAAGGCGACGACGGGUAGCCGGCCUGAGAGGGCGACCGGCCACACUGGGACUGAGACACGGCCCAGACUCCUACGGGAGGCAGCAGUGGGGAAUAUUGCACAAUGGGCGAAAGCCUGAUGCAGCGACGCCGCGUGAGGGAUGACGGCCUUCGGGUUGUAAACCUCUUUCAGCAGGGAAGAAGCGAAAGUGACGGUACCUGCAGAAGAAGCGCCGGCUAACUACGUGCCAGCAGCCGCGGUAAUACGUAGGGCGCAAGCGUUGUCCGGAAUUAUUGGGCGUAAAGAGCUCGUAGGCGGUCUGUCGCGUCGGAUGUGAAGCCCGGGGCUUAACCCCGGGUCUGCAUUCGAUACGGGCAGACUAGAGUGUGGUAGGGGAGAUCGGAAUUCCUGGUGUAGCGGUGAAAUGCGCAGA